rnacentral:lncRNA from 1 species
GGCCCAAGGGAGCCUUGGGCCUGAUCUGCUGCCCAGCGGCCGUGAGUGCUGUGUGGCCCGUGGGAGGCCCCGUGCAUAUGGCCUGCAGAGUCAGGUGUGGGGGGCCCAGAACACGUAGGCCUGGCAGAAGCCCAGGUGGCACAGACGUGGCCCUACAGCCGGGCUCGGGGCCCCGGGAAGCCAGAGGCUCAGGCCCUCCCAGCUGGCAUCAGGGCUGAUCGGGGCUGAGACCGGUCAUCGGAGCAGCCCAUGUCCACUGUCCCCUGUCUCAGCAGCUCCCCGGGGGUCCCCCAAACCCCAACCCUCCCCCAGAUAGGAGCACAAGCAGGGUGGCCAAGGAGCACCCCCCAGCUUACCCACGGACCCUGGCUCAAGACUGGUGGCCAAGGUGCACCCUCGCUGUACUAGGCAGUGGCCUCCAGUCCUGAUGCCACCGACUCUUGGGGGCAUGGCCAGUGCCCGAGGCGGAUGCGUGCGCACACAUGCUCCCAGGAGGUGUUUGUAACAACCCCAAACUGGAAAUGACCCAGAUGUCCAUCAGAGCGCAGCCUGUUCACCUGCUCUUCCAGCUUCAGCAAUUACAAACAAAGCAGUUAGAACACGUGUGUCCGUGUCUCAGAGGAGCAUGUGCUGCCACUUCUCCCGGCGUGGACUGGCUGGAUCACGUGGUUGGCGUCUGAAUUUUUCAGAAACGGCCAAACUGUUUUCCGGCAUGGCUGUGCCAUUGUGCCUCCCACCCGUGAUGUGAGUUCCAGCCCCUCCUCACCCUCCUGUAUGCUUGACGUCGUCCGUUUUUAAAAUUUUAGCCAUUCUAACAGGUGUGCAGUGCUAUCUGACUGUGGUUUUCAUUUGAAUUUUCCUAACGACUAAUGGCGUUGAGCAUCUUUCCAUGCGUUUAUUUGCCCUCUGUGUAUCUUCUUUGAUGAAGUGUCUGUUCUAACGUUUUGUCCAUCCAUUUUAAAAUUGGGUUGCUUCAGUUUUGAGAGUUCUUUAUAUAUUCUGCAUUCGAGUCCUUCACUAAAAAUACAUACUUGGCAAAGAUUUUUCUCCCAGUCAGGGCUUGUCUUUUUAUUCUCUUAAUAGUGUCAGAAGAUACUAUUAAGUGUCAAAACUUCUGUUCAAAAGAGCGGAAGUUCAUUCUUUCCCUCCCUCCCUCCUUUCUUGCUUUCUUCUCUGUUCCUUCCUUCCUUCCUUCCUUCCUUCCUUCCUUCCUUCCUUCCUUCCUUCCUUCCUUCCUUCCUUCUUUCCCUCCCUCCCUCCCUCCCUUCCUUCCCUCUCUCUCUCUCUCUCUCGAUGGAGUCUCGUGCUCUGCCGCCCAGGCUGGAGUGCAAUGGUGCAAUCUCGGCUCACUGCAACCUCUGCCUUUCCAGUUCUGGCAAUUCUCCUGCCUCAGCCUCCGGAGUAGUUGGGACUACAGGUGAGUGCCACCCCGCCCGGCUAGUUUUUGUAUUUUUGGUAGAGAUGGGGUUUCACCAUGAUGGUCAGGCUGGUUUCAAGCUCCUGACCUCAGGUGAUCCACCCACCUCGGCCUCCCAAAUUGCUGGGAUUACAGGCGUGCGCCACCUAGACUGGCCGAAGUUCUUAAUUUUGGCAAAGCCCAAUGUAUUAAUUUUUACUUUACACAUCAUGCUUUUAGUGUUGUGUCUAAGAAAUCUUUGCCUAAUCCAAGGUCAUGAUUUUAUCAUUAUGAAAGGAUCUUCUUUAUUGCCAGUUCCUUGCUCUAAAGUCUACCUUUGUAUUAAUAUUGCCACUUGAUCUUUCUUUCUGUGUUAGCACGGUGUGUUUUUUCCUCUUCCUUUACUUUCAAUAACUAAUGUGUGUCUUUUACUUACAGUGAGAUUCUCUGGGCAGCUUAUAGAGUGAUCUUGCUUUUUAUUCUAGUCUGACAAUCCACAUCUUUUUAUUGGGGGUGUUUAGACUAUUACAUUUAAUGUAAUUAGUGAUGUGGCCAGGUGAAAAGCUACCAUCUUGCUACUUGUUUUCUGUUCCUUCCAUCUGUUCUUUGUCUUUCUUUUCUGCCUUCUUUUGGAUUGACUAUUUUUCCACAGUUCAGUUUUAUCUCCUUGUUUGCUUAUCUGCCAUAACUUUUUAUUAUUUUAGUAGUUGUCUUAGAGUUUAUAGUAUGUCUACAACCUACUGUAGUCUCCUUUCCAAAGAUAUUAUCACAUUCCAUAUAUAGAAGAAGAACCUUCCAGGCUGGGCACGGCGGCUUACGCCUGUAAUUCCAACACUAUGGGAGGCCAAGGUGGGAGGAUCACCUGAGGUCAGGAGUUCGAGACCAGCCUGGCCAACGUGGUGAAACCCCAUCUCUACUAAAAAUACAAAAAUUAGCUGGGUGUGGUGGUGGGCACCGGUAAUCCCAGCUACUCGGGAGGCCCAGGCAGGAGAAUUGCUUGAACCCGGGAGACAGAGGCUGCAGUGAGACAAGAUCGUGCCACUGCAUUCCAGCCUGGGUGACAGAACAAGACUCCAUCUCAAAAAAAAAAAAAAAAAAGGUGCCUCACAGCUCCCUUCUCUUGGGUUGUGCAAUUCUUGUCACCCAUUUUGUGUCCACACACGAUUCACACCGCACUGCAUUGUUGGUAUUUUUGUUUAAUUAAUUAUUUUUUAAAGAGGCUUAAAUAGUAAAAAAACUUCUAUAUUUACCCAUACAAUUACUAUUUCAAAUGCAUUAUUCCAUCGUGUAGAUCCAUAUUUCUUUUUUCUUUUCUUUUUUUUUUUGAGAUGGAGUCUCGCUCUGUCACCCAGGCUGGAGUGCAGUGGCGUGAUCUUGGCUCCCUGCAACCUCCACCUCCCGGGUUCAAGUGAUUCUCCUGCCUCAGCCUCCCAAGUAGCUGUGACCUCAGGCACCCACCACAACGCCUGGCUAAUUUUUGUGUUUUUAGUAGAGAUGGGGUUUUACCAUGUUGGUCAGGCUGGUCUUGAACUCCUGACCUCAAGUGAUCUGCCUGCCUCUGCCUCCCAAAGUGCUGGGAUGACAGGCCUGAGCCACCGAGCCCGGCCGUGGAGCCACAUUUCUAUCUGAUUUCCUUUUCCACCCGCCUGAAGGGCUUUCUUUAACAUUUCUUAAUGGACACUGCAAUGGUUAUUUGUCUGAAAAUAUCUUCCUUUUGCCUUUGUUUUUGAAAGAUGUUUUUCUAGGAUGACAGCUUCUUCUUCCGUUUGUACUGUAAAGGUGCUGCUCUAGUUUUCUUACUGGCACAAGUUCCCCCGCCAAAAAAAUCUGUUGUUAUUUUAAUAUGUUUCCUCUUUGUAACACGCCCCCACCCCACAACUUAAGAUUUUCUCUUUUACACUGAUUCUGUAUGAUUAGGAUUUGGUGUCAUUUCCUUCAUGUUUCUUGUACUUUGUACUCACUGAGCUUCUUGUAUCUCUGGGUUUUAGUUUUCAUUAAUUUUUUUUUUUUUUUUUUGAAACAGAGUCUUGCUCUGUUGCCCAGGCUGGAGUGCAAUGGCGCAAUCUCGGCUCGCCGCAACCUCAAACUCUGGGGCUCAAGCAGUCCUUCCGCCUCAGCCUCCCGAGUAGCUGGG